GGAGUCUAAUAAGGACAACUUUUUCAACUUCUCCUUGAGUGAGGCAACAGAUUGCGAUUUCCUUACGUCCACUGGUAGAUCGUUCCACAGCUUAACUGAGUAGGCAGUGAAAGACCUACAGUACGCACGCGACUUUUUCGGCGGAAUGGCUAAAGUCAGAUUGGCAAUAGAUCGCAGACGGUGACCGCAAACAGUAGCCAGAAAUCUAAUUCCUUCUGAUAGAUACGUAGGGGAUGCGGGAUUAAAUAACACGUUAAAGAGUAAUGACAGAACAUGCACAUCCCUACGAUCGGCGGCCAGCCAAGCUGCGAGCGGAAGGCAGACACGCGAUCGUACUUACGUAACCCAAAUAUAUAUAUCUAAUGCAGACAUUUUGCAAGCGCUCUAGCCUGUCAAGCAGUUCCUCCCUUAGGUCCACAAAAGCAAUGUCCCCAUAAUCGAGGAGUGGCAGUAAGAGAGAGCGAGCAAGACAGAUUUUAGUAGAAAGAGGAAGAAAGUUUUGCAGUUGCCUCAAAGAGUGCAGCGAAGCAAAUAGCUUCCUACUGACCUCCGAUAUAUGCGGCGUCCAUUGAGAGUGUCUGGUCUAGGAUGACACCCAAGUUCUUGACAGUAGAGGAAAGUGGAAUCAAAGUCCCGUCAUAGAUAACAUCGGGUAACACCAUAUCCGCUAGUUUGGAGACAAAAUGAGGACUGCCAAUUACAAUUGCUUGCGAUUUUUUAGCGUUCACUUGUAACCCGAAAUUCAAAACCCAGUUGCAAAUAGCUCUUAGGUCGCAAUUAAUCUUACUGAAAAGAGAAGGAAGUUCGUCAAUGUUAGCCGCCACGUAAAUCUGCAAAUCGUCUGCGUACAGAUGUAAUGCCGUCAAUAAAGAUGGAAAAAGGCAGAGGAGAGAGCACACCACCCCGGGGGACACCAGCGGUAAGGUCACACCACCCGGAGACCUUGUCGUCGACCCUUACUCGCUGGCGCCUACCAAAGAGGUGGCUUCGAAACCAAGCGAGAGCAGAUUGAGAAAGGUUAAGCGUAUUAAGUAUACCUAGGAGAAUAUCAAAAUCUACAUUAUUGAAGGCACUACUAAAGUCCAAGAGCACAAGGAGAGUGAGCUUCCCACCCUCGAUAUUAAGACGAACGUCAUCGGUUACCUUAACCAAUGUCGUGACAGUGCUAUGCCCGGGGCGGAAACCAGAUUGGAGAGGAUUGACCAUACUAUGUCUGUUGAGAUGUGAUGAAAGGCGACGAUUUACGAAGUGUUCAAUUAUUUUUGAUAAAACUGGAAGGAUGGAAAUGGGCCGAUAUUGGGAAUAAGAGAUUGGACUAGAAGUUUUGGGAAGUGGGAUUACAUGGGCGUGUUUCCAUAUAGACGGGAAGG